UUAAACUAAGAAUAUAAGGGUGGAGCUUUUUAUUCAAUAAUUAAUAAAAGAUGAAUAAAUAAAUAUUUUUUUAUAAAUUAGGCUUUUUAGUGGCCAUAUUUUUAAAGUAUUUUAACUAAUAAAAUAUAUUUUUUUUUAUUUUUAUUUCUUUAACGUUUAUUAGAAUAAAUUUUUUAUUAAAAUUAAAUUAGUAAUAAUGAGAAUAUUAGUAGAGAAAUAGAUUGUUGAAGUUAAAAUAAUAGAUUUAUAAAUAUUUUAUAGUAAAUAUAAGGAAAAAUUAAAGGAAUUCGGCAAAUUUUUUCUUGCCUGUUUAACAAAAACAU
rnacentral:rRNA from 1 species